CCGCUCCGGGAAGGGCGGCUGCAAGGCUGGCCCGCGGGCAGAGCCUCUGCUGACGUCCACCGCGGCUCCCACCACGCAACAGGUCCACGCAGGCAGGGCCCGGGCGGCUGGCGUCUGGGCACCUGCCCCCAGCGCUCCAGGCCCAGCUCUCCCCUGCCCCCAACCCGCGGCCACCCCGUAGCCACGGCAGGCCGGCCGGCCAAGCCCACCCGCGAUAAAGCCUGGAGCACAUUCCUCCCAAGAUGCCGAGAUAGUGCGGCCCGCUUGUGCGCUGCCCAGGUCACAAGGUCCUCCCCGAGAAGCCUCGGUCAAAGGAGAGGCGCGCCCGACUCUUGGUAAGUAAACCUGGGCCCAAGGUCACAGAGCACGCAGCUGGAACUCACACCAAGACCUGCUCGACUUCAAAACCAGUGCUCUUUCCCCUGCUUGCGAUGGGACAGGUGAUCCUUCAGCUUACUCUUGAAGAGACAGUGAGGGCUACUGCAUUUCCGUGUCUGAAAUGAAGCCUUGUAGAAACAAGUAGCAGUAACCAAACAGCAUUAUUUUUGUUUGUUCAUUUGUUUCCAAAUGACUUGUGACUUUUCUAAUGGAGAAAAUCUUCAACCCAAAUCUUAAUUCCACCAACAAUGAAUGUGUGCCUUGGACAAUUCACAGCCUGUCUGAGCUGGUUUAUUUUAGAGUGAGCAAGUUGGAGUAGGUGACCUCUGAGUUUUCCUCUGUAGUUUGAGACAUUUUGGUGUUCACACAGCAUAGCACAUGAAGAGCUGAGACUAGAAUACAGGUUUUCUGUGUUCACAAGGGGAAGGCUUUUCCAUCAGCCCUCCUGAGUCUGUGACAUAUUCCAGUUUUAAGGCAGAACUUUGAAACCAGAAGUAAAUGAUUAAGUUUAUCUCUCUCUGUCUAUGCGUAUUCUAGCCCAAUAAACCAUGACACUUAAAAAUAAAACAAUUUCAAUAUUUCAAAGAUGUAGAAAAUUUACUUUAACCAUUUUUAUUGUUUUUAUAAGUAAAAAAUUAUUAAAUGAUUGACAUGUAUUUUUUAAAUGGGAAAUAAUAACAUGACACGCAUGUACCACAAUACCAAGAUUUAAUAAAUCUUUACAUUAUGCAAUAUCUGCUUCAAUUUUUAAUAGAAAUAAAACAUCACAGGUAAAAUCAAAGUUUCCUAAUCUUAUAUUUCUUCACACACUUCCCAGAGGAAAAUGACUAUUCUGAAGUUAGUUGGUUCUAUUCCUUAAUUUUACUAUGUUUAUUCAUAUUCAUAAGACAUUUACGUAGUAUUGUUUUAAGUACUUUUGAAACUGAUAUAAAUGGAAUCAUACAACAAAGUUUAUUUUGCAACCAAAUCAUUCCUGCUGAUUCCUCAGCAGUUUUUUUUUUUCACUGCAUGUUUUGGUUGCAAGAUUUAUCCAUGUUAAAAUGUGUAGGUCUAGUUUAUUAAUUUUAAUUAUGUUUUAUUGUAUGACCAUGACAUUUAUUUUUUCUGCCGAUAUUGAAUUUAAAUUUUUUUUCCUUAUGUCAAUCUCCUUGUUCCUGUGAGUUUCUCAAACUAUGACCUGAAGAUCAUUACCAAUUUAUAACUAGUUAAGUACAGAAAUUGACAAUACUAAUGUAGAAAAUUUAAUAGCAGUCCAACUGAGUGCUUUUAUGUCUGUUAAAUCUAAUAAUACAGACUAUUGAGGUUUAUAUUUUGUAUGUCUGUUUUAAAGUUUUAUUUUAUUUUAUUUUAUUUUAUUUUUGAGACAGGCUCUCACUCUGUCACCUAGGCCAGAGUGGAGUGGUGCAAUCACAGCUCACUCUAGCCUCAAACUCUCAGGCACAGGUGAUCCUCUCACCUGAGCUUCCCAAGUAGCUAGGACUAUAGGAACACGCUACCACACCUGACUAAUUUUUUUAUUUGCUAUAGAGAUGGGGCUUUGCCAUCUUUCUCAGACUGCUCUCAAAAUCCUGGGCUCAAGUGAUCCAUCCACCUCACCUCCCAACAUGCUGGGACUACAGGCACGAGUCACUGUGCCCAGCCAAAAUUUUAUUUAUUCAUUUGCAUUGCAUUUUACAAACAUAUUGAUCCUCAUCAGGUUGGAAAUAUUUUUAGAAAACUUGGCUUUUUAUUACAGAUAGUUUGAGACUUUCUCCAUGGUUUCUACCUGCAAGUGAAAUUUCUGGCUUGAUGAAUAAGUGCAUCUUUAGCUCUAAAAGCUAUAAACAAAUUGCACUCCAGAAUGGUCAAACCCAUUUUCAGUCUCUUCUGCAGUGUAUGAGUUUCCUUUUCCAAUAGUUACAUUAUCAAACCUUUAAAUCUUUCUCAAUAUGGUAGCUGUGACGUAAUGUUUUAUUUUAAUUAGCAAUUAUUUGAUUAGUAGUGAGGUUGAAUAUCUAUAUAUAUGCUAAUUACAUUCCCAGUUACCUGACUUUAACAAGGCAAGUUUCCCAGUUUGCAAGUAUGGGUAAAAAACAUCUUUAAAAAUAUAGCUAUAGCAGGUAAAGUAUCACAACAGGUAAAACCGGUUUUUAAGAGGAAAAGCCUGGGAACAGCUAGUUUUGACUUGAUGGAGGACAGGAAAAACCAGUCAUAGCAAAUGAGUGAAAGACAGAUAACUUUAGAGUAUACAGGUCUUUUCCAGUAUUUUGGUUUCGGGACAAUCCUUCCAUCACCAUUAUGACAUUUCAGUGGAGAAUUUUCACUAAGAAUUCUGUACCUGUUUUUUCCUUUUGAUCAUCAAUGAUUUUCUGGUGCUGAUGAGAUCAAGGGGACAGAGAGGCUGAGUACCUCCAUGAGCUUCAUUAUUUUCCAUGAUCUGACCUCUCAUUCUCUCAGCCUUUGAAGUUUGAUGAAGGAAAAACUCUGAAAAAAAGUAUCGGCAUCCAAGGAACCAUACCCAAGGAGUAGUGCCAGAGGGAACACAUCUGAGGAGCUCCAUCUGGAUCUGAACAUGAUUUAGUUGACAAGAUGCUAGACUUUGAGCUGGUGCCAUAAUGAAAUGAGGCUUUGGGAGUCUAGAGGGAGAUAAGUGUAAGUAUAUUUCACCGGUGAAGAAUGUAAAACAUAAAAGGCCAGGACAUGAACUCCGUAGCUAAUCUCCAAAGAUGGCUCUCAGUGAACCACACCUCAUGGAAUUCAUGCCUUUGCGUAGUCCCCUUCCACACUGAAUCUGGGUUAACUUUGUGACUUUCUCUCACAGAAGUGACGGAAGUAACAACAUAAUGUAUCCCUCUGCUUAGUUAGAUCAUCUUUAAUUUCUCCCAAUAAUGUUUUGUAGGUUUCUGUGUAGAGGUCUUACACAUUUUUUAGAUCGAUUCUUUGACAUGUGACUUUUCUAUGCUGUUGAUAUAUGAGAUUUUGUUAAAAAUUUUUGUUUUCUAAUUGCUUCUUACUGGCAUAUAAAAACUUAAUUACAUAUAAAAACUAACUACAGGACUUUAUUUCUUGAAUAUGUACUCAGUGGCCUCGGUUAAUUUCUCUUUCAAUUGUAAUAGUUUUUCUGUCAGUCUUUUGGAUUUUCCUACAUGUAUAAUUAUAUAUGAAUAAUGACAGAUUCAUUUCUUCCUUUCCAAUCCUCUAAUAGGGUUUCUUUAUUUGUUUUUCUUGCUUUGCUGCACUAGCUAGAACCUCCAAUAUAAUAUGGAAUCUUUCCCUUGUUUCUGAUUUUAGAGGAAAAGCUCUUAAUAUUAAGUAUGAUGGUUUUAAUGGGGUUUUUCUAGAUACCUUUGUGAAGGCCAGAGUUUUUUAAAUAAAUGAAUCUUGCUUUUCUUAAAAAAUUUUACUGCAUCUAUUAAGAUGGUCAUAUGAUUUUUAAAUUCUAUUACUGCAGUAAACUACAUUGAUUUUUCAAUUUAAAUAACCAUCUUACAUAUCUGAAAUAAACACACUUUGGUCAUGGUAUAAUAUUCUUUUUGUGUAACACUGGAUUUUAUUUAUUUAUUUAUUUUAGAAUUUUUGCUUAUAUGUUCCUAAGAGACAGUGGCUUGUUAUUUUUUUUCUUGUGUGUUCUUGUCAGGUUUGAGAAUCAAGGAUAUGUUGAUCUUAGCAAAAUUACUUGGGAAGUACUUGCUCUUUUUCUAUUUUCUGGAGAAGUGUAAAUUUGAUGUGAUUACUUCUUUAAAUAUUUGGUAAACUUCACUAGGGAAGCAUCUAGAAUGGAAAAAAUUUAGUUAUGGACUCAAUUUCUUUAAUAGAUGUAGAAUUAUUCAACUCUGUCUGUUUCCAAUACUCUUAUUUUGGCGCAUUGAGAUUCUCUAUGAAUUUGUCUAUUUUAUGUAAGUUUUCCAAAUUAUUGGCAUAAAAGUCACAUGGACCUCUUAGGAUUUUUCUAAAUGAGCCUUUGUUCUUGAAAUUAUGUAUUUGCACAUUUUCACUGUCUCUCUCUUCUUCAUCAGACCGGCCAGAUGUUGGCAAUGUAACCUUUUUUUAAAAAAAGAGAUACAACCUUUGGAUUUGUUAAACUUCAUUACAUGUUUGUGUUUUUUCCAUUGGUUUCUAGUUUGCUGUUUGUAAUUUACUUUAUCUACUUUCUUAGAGUUAAAAUUUGCUGUUCUUUUCGAACUUCUUGAAAUGGAUGCUUAGAUAAUUCAUUUCCAGUUUUUCUACUUCCCUAAUAGCUUCAUUUAAGCCUAUAAGUUUCCCUUGAGGCAUAGAUUUGGAUUCAGCCCACCCAUUUUGAUAUGUUACAUUUUUAAUAUGUUAAAUUUAAAAUGUCUUCUGAUUCGUAUUGUCAUUUUUGGUUUGACUUAUUGAAUAAUUUAGUAGUGCAUUAUUAAUUUCUGAAACUGUGAUGUUUUAAUAUGGCAUUUUUGUUUUUUAUUGCUGGUUUACUUAUGUGUGGUCCAAAAACAUAUUCCAUAUUACUUCAGUUUCUUAAUGUUUGUUAAGGUUUCCUUUAUGGGCAAG